UGCCACGCGGGAGCCGAGAAGGCUGGGGGAAGGAGCAGCGAGGGAGAGCUGCGUGGGGAAGCGGGGCGGCCCUGGCCGGGGCCUCCUGUUGCAGCGCCUCCCACGCACCACGGAACUAUGAGUCGGAAAAAGAAAAAAGGAUGUUUGCCGAGCAUCUAUGUGCCAAGCACCUGUGCUGAGAGCUGUGGAGGCUGACGGGAUUCACACAUGGUCCCUCCUUUGCACAACACCACAUCCUGUGACUGUUUCUUGGUCUUGUCUGUUGCUUCCUUCCCACUGCAGCUGCACCCAGUCAGUCAGCACCCAGCAGAACAGGCUUUCAAUGAAGGAUGGCAGAAGCAGGCAAGAAGAGGUGAAUCUUUCGUAUUCCUUAGGACAGUGCCUCUGCAUGCACAGAAUCGCCUGGAGAGCUUGUUGAGACAGAUUAUGAUUCGGGGGUCUAGAGUGGAGCUGGAGUCUACACCAUCACACCCCUAGGGGAUGCUGCUGCCACCAGCAGAGCCCACACUUCGGGGAGUAGAAUCCAGCUUUGGCACUGAGUUCUUAACUGCAGAAGCAAUAGCACCCCAGCUCUGAAGCUAGAUAGCCUGGGUUUACAUCACCUCUGCCAUCUUACUUCACUUCUCAGGUCUCCUCCCACAUCUCAUAUGGAAAACGAGUUAAAAC